rnacentral:SRP_RNA from 1 species
GCCGGGCAUGGUGGCUCAAGCCUGUAAUCCCAGCACUUUGGGAGGCUGAGGCGGGUGGAUCACCUGAGGUCAGGAGUUCGAGACCAGCCUGGCCAACAUGGUGAAACCCCGUCUCUA